rnacentral:rRNA from 1 species
UAGUACAUCGCAAGUCAGAGCGAACAGAAGGGAGCUUGCUCCCGGAUGUUAGCGGCGGACGGGUGAGUAACACGUGGGUAACCUGCCUGUAAGACUGGGAUAACUCCGGGAAACCGGAGCUAAUACCGGAUAGUUCCUUGAACCGCAUGGUUCAAGGAUGAAAGACGGUUUCGGCUGUCACUUACAGAUGGACCCGCGGCGCAUUAGCUAGUUGGUGGGGUAAUGGCUCACCAAGGCGACGAUGCGUAGCCGACCUGAGAGGGUGAUCGGCCACACUGGGACUGAGACACGGCCCAGACUCCUACGGGAGGCAGCAGUAGGGAAUCUUCCGCAAUGGACGAAAGUCUGACGGAGCAACGCCGCGUGAGUGAUGAAGGUUUUCGGAUCGUAAAGCUCUGUUGUUAGGGAAGAACAAGUGCGAGAGUAACUGCUCGCACCUUGACGGUACCUAACCAGAAAGCCACGGCUAACUACGUGCCAGCAGCCGCGGUAAUACGUAGGUGGCAAGCGUUGUCCGGAAUUAUUGGGCGUAAAGGGCUCGCAGGCGGUUUCUUAAGUCUGAUGUGAAAGCCCCCGGCUCAACCGGGGAGGGUCAUUGGAAACUGGGAAACUUGAGUGCAGAAGAGGAGAGUGGAAUUCCACGUGUAGCGGUGAAAUGCGUAGAGAUGUGGAGGAACACCAGUGGCGAAGGCGACUCUCUGGUCUGUAACUGACGCUGAGGAGCGAAAGCGUGGGGAGCGAACAGGAUUAGAUACCCUGGUAGUCCACGCCGUAAACGAUGAGUGCUAAGUGGUUAAGGGGGUUUCCGCCCCUUAGUGCUGCAGCUAACGCAUUAAGCACUCCGCCUGGGGAGUACGGUCGCAAGACUGAAACUCAAAGGAAUUGACGGGGCCCGCACAGCGGUGGAACAUGUGGUUUAAUUCGAAGCACGCGAAGAACCUUACCGGUCUUGACUCCUCUGACACCCUAGAGAUAG